UAAACAGAAUCUCCAUCCUGUUACCCAGUGUAAGAAUGCUUGGUGCAGGAACCAUGCCCGCUGGAGGACUGUGUCUCUCACCCACAGGUCUUUUCUUACCCAUCAUCCCCUUUGGACUUAAAAUGCUGCAUAGUUAAAGUCCAGAAAGGCUUCAUCGAUCUCGCUUGCCAUCUCAGCAGGGGGUCCUUUGGGCUGGGUCAGAUUCGCAGACAGCUUGGUGAACUCCUCAUCGAAAUACCCCACAUCCUCCGGUCCAUUUAGGCUGGGCACGAACGGAGCUGUUACGUUCUUCUCAAUAAUAUCAUCCCAGACAAUGCCCUGCAAAAUAGGCACCAUAACAAAUGCUCAUUAUUAGAGUAUCAUCAUUAGAAGCUGAGGAUAUGAAAGGACUGUAUCUCUUGGAUAAUUAUUUGGACAAUACAGACAGGGGACUUACAUUAAAGAAUGGAUGUUCUGCUACAUCUGCGGCAUUCCCCGGGGUGGAACCUAGCCUCUCCUCAGGAUUCUUCUUCAACAGCUACAAGAAGUGAAAAUAGCAGUUACACUGAAGAAGCAGAAGCUUCAGGGAACUCAAGAGAAAGUGGUCACUGAUUAUAAUAAACUGAAAGCUCAGCGCUACUUACCUGUGAUAUGAAGCUUACUGCUUCGGAGUCCAGGGAUGAGGGGUAGUGUGGCUCAUCCUCCACGAUGGAAUCAUAUAUAAAGUCCCUGUCGUAUCCGGUGAAAGGCUUUUAAAUGGGGAUCACUGGCCCCAUCUAAAAAGCAAAAGCCUCCUCUACUGUCAUCUCUUCAGCCUGAGAAUCCUCUGGAAUGGGGCUGUAAUCGCCGGGGAGAGGACCCAUCGAUGUUUCAGAAGAGUCUUCUUCAUUCUCAGGAACUUCACUAUUGGG